UACGUAGGGCGCAAGCGUUGUCCGGAAUUAUUGGGCGUAAAGGGCUCGUAGGCGGUCCGUCACGUCGGGAGUGAAAACUUGGGGCUUAACCCCAAGCCUGCUUCCGAUACGGGCGGACUAGAGGUAGGCAGGGGAGAACGGAAUUCCUGGUGUAGCGGUGAAAUGCGCAGAUAUCAGGAGGAACACCGGUGGCGAAGGCGGUUCUCUGGGCCGUACCUGACGCUGAGGAGCGAAAGCGUGGGGAGCAAACAGG
rnacentral:rRNA from 1 species